CCACAGCACGGUCAUGGCAAAAAACUUUACAAUAGGGAGUACAUGCAUGAGAUCACAGCGUUUUACCACACAACAUACAGAAUGCCCCACACAAGCAUUACUUUGAGAAGAUGACAUUUUAAUGACAUUCCACAUGGUGAAAAUCUGUCUUGUCUCCUUAAAUAUCCUGAUCUCCUAAAUGAUGACUCCUGUGGCAGCAGAGAGUGAUGCCAUGGUGCAACUGGAGAUACACAAAGGCAACACAGCAAAACAAGGACUGCCAUUCCAUUACACCAUUUGGCCUGCAAGGCAGUGACCUCAGUUGGCCGAUACCCCAGGAGGCCAUGUCUCAUCACUGGAUCGCUGUGCUGGUAUGAAAGGUCAAAACUGUGCGCUGGCCUCCCACUGCUCCACUCUCUGAGGAAACAAAUCCAAGUGGUGCUUGGGAUGAGGGGGCCAACAGCAAAGUCCUGCCAACAGGCUGAGUGAGUGGGUUUUGGCAUUUGCAGCCAUCUCCUAAAAGUUGGAGCUCCUCUCAAACAGUGAGAAGGAUCCGUAUCUCAGGAAGAUAUGUGGGGAGUAGGGCUGCAGUGUGGGUGUGCCUUCUGCCUAUGGGAGGCAGGGAGGCAGGGAGGGAGGCAGUGCCAUGCCAGAGGCCAGAGGGGAACAGGGGGAGCCAAUUUGGACUCCAUGGUAAAAUUUACACCACUGAGCCCACUUCUAUAUGCAACAGAAAGAGGAAGGUGAGCUUCACUUUACUAGAAAACUGCCUAGUUCAGCCAGUGGUGUACACCACUUGCUGUUUUUGUUGUCAAAGUUUGCUUGCUCAGAAAUUUGGUUAUUACCCAGCUGAACGGAAUUUGGUUAUCACCCAGCUGAACAGAAUCUGGUUCUCCUACUCUUCGGGUAAUGAAGGAAAGUAUUUUUGUCCUAAGAAAAUUCUGAACCAUUAUGAGAACCAUUAUAAUCUUUUGCAAAAUUUGUUUAUGACACAAACAUUAAAUGCAGGUGAGAGAAAUGAGAAUAACCAGCCAAAAUCCACUGCUGUCUGAAUGUGCCAUGUAAAAUCUCUAUAGAAAGAAAAAAAAAAAUGAAAAAUCAUGUACGUAUCACAGGUGCAUAUCACAAGCAUAUAUGUAUAAUUGAUGCAGUGUAGUAACAUUCAGCACUCUUCUCUUCUAGCCCCACAUGGGCCAAAAAUGCACAGCACAGAUUUGGCUGAGCAGAGAUGACGGUGAGGGGGUAUCAGCACUCAAAGUAUAAAGAGGGACAGGCCCUGUGCCAUUAGAGUACCUAAUCCUUGGAAGCCCCACAGCUCAUGCUGUGGAGCAGAGAAGUUCCUGGGAGCAACUGAUAAAGGGAGGGGGACUGAACACUAGAAGAUGCUGGCCAGAAAAGCUGCAGAGUUUCUAUCCUUGGGGAUUCUCAAAUCCAGACCUAAUUCUAGGCAAUCUUCUAUAGGUGACCGUGCAAUUUGUAUUCAGUGCCUGAUAUUAAGGACAGUUUGUAGAGGUGGUGGAAACAGGCCUUGCAAAGCUUACAAAAGACUUCACCUGUUGACGCUGUGAAGGGUAAGAAGGUGAAGGAAGGCUGGCCCAAGAUAACCACUGGCUCUGCAGAGAUGCCAGGUAAAGGUGGAGGUAGGACAAUCUGCACAACUGGUGUCCCCCUUGUACACAGCUUCCCCUUGCCAAGCUGUAAAUCACCACUCAGGGGCUGGCCCAGCCCAGAGCUGGCUGUGGAAGAAAUCCCUCCUGGCAGGGAGAAAGGAGCAGCCUUCCUGGAAUGAGCGAGCAGCCAACAAACAUUGCAGCUCCAGACAAACUUCAGCCCUAGUCAAUCUGCUCGCUGCUGUCAGCCCUCCUGCCACCCCUUCCCCACUUUCUCCUGCCCUUCAGCCACCAGGAGCUGCAGCUUUUUUUUCCCCUGGAGUCUUCCCCAGCCCUGGCAGCAGCAUGCUGUCUGGCCUGGCAAGGGUGGCUUCACUGCCAGGCUUUCUACCCAGGAGGGUAACAGGCUCACUCACCAACACAGGGUUCACAAGGGGCCCCAGGCACAUCGCUUAGCCCCAUUCCCUGCCACUGCCUCCAUUAUCUUCCCCAGCCCUGCAUAGCCCUGGUGCGCAGACAACUGCCCAUUACUACUGAGCAGUUGCCUGAAUCCCACUAAAAGCUUGUCAAAGUGCCCAGAGAGCUGAAAGUGAGCUCUUUAAAUUACAUUUGUUGAAAGAUCCCUGGUGCCUGUUCCUGCUUUUCGUUUUCAACAACUCUCUGAAAUCAUAGUUUGUUUUACAGUGAUGUUUUGUUUUUCUUUUCCUGCAUCCAACCUAUAAGUCAUGGAUGAUGCAUAUUGAACACAUUAAAUGGAUUUCAGUGGGCUGCACACCAUGUGUGCACAGGGCUGAGGCCUGGGAGAACGGCAUUUUUGUGUUUGCUUUCUGUGCCAGGAAGCCAUGCAGUGUGCUGCUCCCUUAUGCAUGGCCCUGCAUUGAUUUCUGCAAAUGUGAAAACCAAGAAAGAAGCUGCAUGGAUAGAGACAGCAGAACCACUAAGGAUACUACCAAAGAGGAAGAAUCAAGAGUCUAACUGAUGGGUUAAAGCAGUGCCUGGAAAUCAGGACUGCUUGGAUCAAUGCCUAACCACAGCUGACAACAGGCAAGUCUCUUCACUGCUGUGCUUCUGCCUCCCCAUCUGGAAACCGAGGAGAGUAAACAAAUUCAGUGCCCUAUCCUCAGGGAAGGUAUGUGCAGUUCGGAAAGUGUUUUGAGCUCCCCAUACAGAACUGUUUCUUUGUGUGCAGAGUUGUCAUAUAUUCUUUAGAGAUUUCUUUUAAUUAGAAGAAAAAUAACUCCAUCUCUUUUAGAAAAAUUGGGAGUUAUGUUCUUAUUAUAUAUUUAUGACUAUGCACCAGAUUUUUUUAAAGUCCUGUGCCUUUCCAAUUUUGCUAUUAAUAUGUCAUAAGAAAAUCAGGGAUUGUGUCCAAAUUCCAAUUCAUGAGAAUGGAAUUAAUAUCUCCAUUAAAAUGAAAAAGGGGGAGUAGUGGGGGAAAUCUCGGAAGCCCUGGCGGGUGGUAAUAGCUGGACUCAGCUCUUCCAUCCUGGUGACUCAUUCUGGGAAUGGACAGUGCCUCUGUCGUCUUCAGACAUUUAACACCUCCCUAACAAGAUUUAGCAUCAGCUGAGAUGUGUGAACAAAUAAAAUUAAGCAACUCGAGACUUCCUACAACAUCUGUGUCUAAAACAAUGUAGGGCCUGAUCCUGUCAGAGGUGGGUGGGAGCUCGGGAGGUGAUGCAUUGGACUUUUUGUUAUUAAUACCAGCAGUGGAGACCUUCAGCUACAAGCCAUCUCUCCCAGAUUACACUUCUGAAGAUGUAAAGAAGAAAACAAGGUUCAGAAGACAGCACCUCGCCAAAAUAAAGAUAUUUUAGGAAGGUAUUUCUGACUCCAUACGGAUUAUGUGUAAACUUAAGUUACUGAGACAAAAUGGGGACUGUUUGGUUAAAGCUCAAAUCCUGCCUGGCCUUUACUAGGCUAUGUUUCAAGCAUCCUGUUUUGCCUAAUCUCUACAUCUCACUCUAUCACCUUAAUCCAACUUCUCCAGGAGUACUCUCCACAGUCCUACCCAACAGCUGGACUUGGGACCAAAAACAUCAGUCCUGGAGAACUGUGCCGCAUGGUUUCAAGUAUCUGAGGCUGAGUAGGGGUCAGAAAAUUGAGUUCAAACCAAACCCUUCUCUUGAACCUUUGACUGACCUUUGAAGGAGCCCCACAGGCUGGGUUUGGGCUGUAGGUUCCAAAAAUCUUAUUCCAGAGUCUCAUCUUGUUCUUGUGACUGAAUUAUCAUGGCCCUAUGAUAGCCAAAUUGACAGCAGUUCCACGUCAACUGUGUCAACACAGAAAUCCCAAAUUCAAAAGUACAUGGGUGGGACAGGGUGGAGAAAAGUGCCGACUAUUUUUAAUCAAAAGUUUCAACAGCCUUUCCCUAGAUAUGACGAGUUUCCAGAUUUGAAGUGCUUAGAAGCAAUCCAGAAUUUAUAUGUAGGUAAUAUAAUGGCUCUGAUGAUUAGCUGUUGAUUGAGAAAACUUGAGGAUUCUAUGACAAAAACAUAAUGUAAGCAGUGUAGUUUCCUGACAUUUCCAGUGCACUAUAAUUCUUUCUGUGUAAUGUAUAAGCCCUCUAUUUAUUUUUCAGAGUUCUGAAAGCUUAAUAUUUCACUGAUAUAUUCCCUAUUAAACUCACCUCAACAGAUCUUUGGCUUUUUGAUGGGGAGCCCUAAAAGGUUGGCCCAACUAGAGGCACUGAAGCAAAGUCCGUGUUCCUAACAGUUCUUACUUUGCUUUCUGGGGAAAGCCUUUCCUGAUCUUUUACUUCUUGGCUGUCAGCCUAAAUGCUCACUCUGCCCUUUCUAUGGACCUCCUGUAGGAGCUUUGAGCAAGGAAGCGGACAUACCAACUCUCUCACCAAAUCACGGACCAAAACACAUUUCCUUUUAUUAACAGCUCUGGAAGUAACUUUGGUUAGGUAUCCACCAUGCAGCCACAUAAAGAUCAGUCAGUUAUCUUCUGGGGUCACCUUUGUCAGUCACCUACCAGUUCAGGCAAUAAAUGUACUCUUGAAUAUGUUUGCCAAUGUUAUUCAUUUCUUUCACAAUACGUAACCCCUUUCAUUUCACAAAUAUGACGUUAGGAAAUACUACUACUCUGAAAGGGUGGUCAGGCACUGGAAUGGGCUGCCCAGAGAGGUGAUGGAGUCACCGAUCCUGGAGGUGUUCAAGGAACAUUUGGAUGUUGUGUCGAGGGACAUGAUUUAAUGAAAAUUGUUGGUGAUGGGUGAAUAGUUGGACUGGAUGAUCCUGUGGGUCUUUUCCAACCUUAGUGAUUCUAUGAUUCUAUGAUAUCAAGCCUAUCUCACUUGAGAAAAUCUUUGCUGCAAAAAUGUUAGAUGGUAGCCAUGCCACCAGUCCACUGAUGACACUUACAGGUUUAUAGCAUGGGGCCACUAAAAGGCUUUGCAAUCUCAUCCUUCACAAGGAUGGAGAGGACUUUGGGGUUCUGAGUACUACUGAGCACUGCUGAUGCCCACUGAGCAUUACUGAGAUGUGUGAGGUUUUCAAGAAAGUCUUGACUCACAAAGUCAUCUUGUUACACGAAGAUCUGUCUUCAUUUCAAAAGAACCUUCCAGCACUGGUAAGUGCAUAAAAGUCCUGGAAAUGUGGUAUCCAAGGGUUCCAAAGACAGUAUCCAACACAAAAUAUAUAUAUAUUAUUUUUAAAAUGCUACUGUGUUAAAAUCAAUCUUAUGAUUCAUUUCUGAAACUCCUGAUCUUGUAUGCUUAGGAGUGGAAGUAUAUGCUCCCUGACCUCAACAAAGGCUUAUAAUAAUGACAAGUUAUUUCAUUAAGAUAUAGCAGCUGUUGUACUACAACAGCCACCCCUAAAAAUUCUUCAGUUGCCUGAGGUAAGCAAAUAAUGAUUCUUCAUUAUUCACAGGUUGUAUUCUUUAUAUUAAGCACAGGGAAGUUUAGAUAACAUCUAAUUGCAAAGUGAAGCACUGGAAAGUUUUUGAGGGUGGCAACAGCAUACCUAAAUGACAUUUAUUUAUUUAGAAGCUCUUAACACAUGCCUUUCACUUAUCCCAGGCAGACACUGAGCCCUGAAAUCAAAACUCAUGCAAUAUCACUUGGCCCCAUGCCUGUACUUGGAAGAUGUUUCUCAGCACACCCAAAACAAGAUACUGCUUUCCCAGUUUCUACCACUUAAUCAUUCUCCUGCAGACACCACCCAGAGUAAAAAACUGGGAUAAGCAGAGAAAUCCUUACUUAAAUAGACUUCAGAUGACUGUACUGAGCAUUAACAUUACCUAAAUCAUUAGAAAUAAAAAUUUAUUCCCCAAGUUUUGUCUGCCAUUUCAAUCUUAGCUAAUUUUUCUUCCAGCUUUAUAAAUCUCUGAAUGUGCAGAUUCUUGACUGAAACACUGACACAACCACAGCAAUGGCAGCCAGGCUGUGCUGUAACAGCAUUAGAAGCAAGGCAAUGGGACAGUCUACAUCUUACUGUUAAGAAGCCUUAGCAAAACUUUGUGAUCACAAGACAUAGUAGCUGCAGAUUUAAUGCUUACAGAACAGGAAAGCAUGUUACGGUCACUGAUCUGGGUUGACCCGCAAAACACAAGCCACAGAAUCAGUGAUUCCUGGGCCUUUUGUCACAUGCAUCAUGCUGAGAUGGAUUUUUCAGUGGUUAACAUGCCAAUAAAGGCAAGGCCAUGUGGCACUGCAAUAUUCACAGAGUUGUCUGUCACUCCACCCUCGUUACACAAACAGAUUUGAGGUCUCAAAUCUUUUUAAAGAAAAGAACCUCUAACAAAGCAUUUUAAAAAUGUCCCCUCAUCCCCAGUCCAGCAUGCAUCAAGGGAUGUUUUUCAUUACUGCAACCCUAACCCUAUCCCAGAAACAGGUUUUCAGAUGAGCUGGACCUUACCUGGCAUUACUCCAGUGCCAUUUCAAAUACGCACAUUUAGCAGCGAUUUUCUAAGUGCAUACACCUUUAUUCACUGCUCAUUUGCAGAAAGGCUCUUUUCCAAGGAAAAGGAACUUGCAUUUCUCCCUGUCCAUUUACAAGGAGCCAGGGAGCUUGGAGGCAUACAAAACACAGCCUUUUCUUCCAGGCAGGCACACACAUGAUUCCAAUCUCCUCGCUCCGAAUCUGGAAGCCCCUGCUGCUACUUUAGACCACAGAAUCUGAAAACAUGCCAUAGAGGAAGCAAGCAGGAGGCAGGGAUCCUACACACGCAGCCAUGACUGCAGUGUGGCUCAGAGCCCCACUGUGAGUAGCAACCAUCAGUGCAGCACAUCAGUGUGUCGCUGGCUGAGCUCUCUUAGGCAAUGAAGAAAGAAAGAAAAUGAAGUGAGCCUGGUUCUUGUCAACAGAGAGCAGUGAAGAGAAGGCAGCAGGGCAGAGGGCUGCUCUUAUUAAGUGAUUCAUUCUGGACAGGAAACUGAUGCUUGGCAGUGAGGGCAGCAGUACAGAUCCCUGCUGCUGCUGAGCUGUUGGUUUACAUAAAUGCCCUCAAACCCAGAAGAUGUGUGACUAGCCUCUGGGUCAGGCUCUUAACAAAUGAAGGUGAAAAUAUGCAAUACCAGAGCAUCCUUUCCUUCUUUAGCACCUCUCCUCCCAACCACACUGGCUUUGCUCCAUUCAACUGGUGUCUUUGCUACAGCACCCAGUGAUACUGCAGGGAGAAGAAAUCCUGCAUCAGCAAGUUGUGUUCAGGCAAGCCCAAAGUAGGCUUGUUUGGUCUCAUUUCUUGUAAAAUGCUAGAUUUAGUGAAGUUCUUCAAAGUGGUUGUGCACUUCACUCAUAUCCAAAACCUUAUGGCUUUAAUAAAUUAACUGUGCUUAAUUAAUACUGUGGGUCUGAAAAUUCCCUGUAAUUUGUGAUCACUUGUUUUUCUAAUAUUUUGGUCAGUGUCUAAUCUCGUUGGCGUUGCCAGCUAGAUCCAUGUAAUUUCUGCUAGAAUUGAAUUUUCCACACAGUGUAACCUUAUAGCCCUCUGGCGUUCCCUGACACAUAAAGAGAGGUGGUUAUCAUCAGUUUGACCAACUCCUGUACAUUCAUGUUUUCAAGUAUGGCACAAAAUAACAUUCACUGGGUCUCUUGUCCUGUAAAAGUGCCUUAGAGUUUUAAUAGUAUUCCCAACGAGUUUUGUUACUUCCUUUCUGACAGCACAUCUUUCCUAAGAUGUGGUGAAACUCAGAGGGACAUGACAGUUUACAAUGCUAUCACUCAAUAUAAGGGAUGCACCUACAGUUCAUCAGUUUCCCACUGGAAAUUCCUUUCUCAUCAACAAGAAUAUCAGUUUUGGUGGGAUUGAGGACUGAAGAAAUUUGAAAGAAUUCUGAGUUUGAAAUAUAAUUUGAAUCUAAAUACAAUACAGGUUCAAUUCUCCUUUUGUUCUGUUUCAGUUUCAUUUCCUCAUCACUCAUAUUUUUGGAAAUGUUCAUUAUUUUUUAACUGCCUGCUCUAUUAAUCAUUAUCUAGUGCAAUGUUUUAGUUAUCAAAAAUAAAUGCCUAAGCAACCAUCUCAAA
ensembl:lncRNA